CUUUCUUAUCUUCAUUUAAACUCUCUCGUUUGUCCCUUUUUCUUUCUUUAAUACGAGAGAGUUUAAAUAGAAGAAAGAAAAGAAAUCGUUCCACCAGGCAUUAAUGAAAAGAGAAUGAUUACAA
rnacentral:ribozyme from 11 species